CGCCGGGCCUGCGGGGAGGGAGGGCACCUCUCCAGUUGCUCGCCAGAGCCCCAAAGAGCCGGGGAACCGGCUCGAUGAGUCAUCUCCUGGCUCGGUGAAGCCGGGCAAAGUAGACCUCCCGGGCCACUUGGCUAACAUUCUGACCUGGAUGCUUAAAGGCAGGCGGAUCGGUCCUGGGAGGCAUGUGUAUGGGAAGAAGGUCUAGGGGUGCUAGGGGACAAGCAUUGGGGAAGUCUACAUGCAUCUGCUGGUUGGGUUAGAGUUGCAGCACCUGCUCCUUGGAGCUAUACUGAGAGAAUGACGUGUUAAUCUGUAACUUUGGUCCUAACUCACAGCAAGCUUUGUUGUUGAAUUGUGAGGCUAAGAGCCAACCUUACCUUAUUGACAGAUGAUGGACUCCAGGAGCCCUUCCGUUUUUUCCAGAGUUGGUUAUGUGAGUCGUUAUAGGAGUUUGUGCCAUCACACCCCAAGGACAUGCUCUUCUACCUCCAAACUACAACUAACUUUGAAUUUUCCCUCGAGUCAGGAUUCUGUUCAAAGACUGCAGGAAUUAAUACCGUGCAGACAGAUCCGUGAUACCAUCAGAGGAGCAGCAUAAAUCAGAGCAUAAAACCACGUCAUGGUACAUGGAUGAGCCUGCGGACCAUUCUCUCAAGAGCUUCAGUAAGGAGGGAUUGGUAUAAAGAGUUUGCCAUCUGGUAACCUCAAACUUUGCCUGCAGGAAACGGGAGUUUGAUUAAUAUAGGACAAUUGAAAGAACGGAUGCAAAUAAUUGCUGGGUUUUCAGGCCGUGGAGACAGGAGGCCGUCGAAAGUGAAACUGAAUGACAAAUGGCUUCACUCUGAAGCAACUAGGAUCAACAACUCAGAUCUGGAUGGUGACCUGUAGUUUACAAUCCCAUCAGAAGAGUUGAGCUGGUCCUUUAAGGAGGCUGGCCAGAAAAUUGAAAAGAAGUCCAGAUGAUCACAGGACCUGGCUGCCAUAGAGUGCCAUAUUGAUGGAAAUGGCCUGUGCCUCCGCUUGAGGCCAUGAGAAAGCGCAUGCCCGAUGCUCCUACUGAACACAAAGAGCAAGGAAGCUACUUUGGCAGUGAUAUCAGUGACUGCAGUUGAGAAAGAGGACAUAGAAGAGUUCUGUGACUACCCCACCCCAAAAUAACACCCUAAAAUGAAAGUCAUCGGAGAGAACCCUUCAAAAUUGUGAUAAAGAUGCUAAAUGGUAGCUUUCCACCAUUGAUGGCAUCUGGGAGGGACUGAGGUGGAGAAGGACUCAGUUUUCUUUAGGAUGCUGACCCCAGGGAGUUUGAUCAUUCUCCAAUGUGAGACAGAAGAGGGCCACUUAUUCAUUGGUAGGCUUGGAGAUCAAAGCCAAGGCUUCAAAAACACUAAGGAAGUGCCAUCUACCAGAAAACCACAUCCCCAGCCCUGAAACAUUUAUUUGGAAACUUGGAUGAUACUUCUUAGGAAAACCCUUGGCUAAAGACGGAAUGAAGAUUUAAACAAAUAAGAAGAAACUGAGUCACAGCUGACGUGCUUCAUUGAUUAGGAUUGGACAUCUAACAAGGCUAUCACUCAGAGCACCGGGAUCCUAGUGUGGGUUUUCACAGUUCAUCUCAGAAUGGAUUUGGGGUAUGAAGAACGUGAUCACAGUUCCUAUUCAAGGUUCUCCUUUAACCUAAAAACCAUCCUAGCUGAAGAUCAAAAGAAAGAUUGGCAUUGAAUGAAGUACUGACUUAUACAGGACACCAAAAACACCAGAUCAGACGGCUAUUAUGCAAGAAGUGAUGGAGCCCAAAUGUCAAUUUUUGAGCAAGCUGCCGAUGGGGAGGUCAUUAUCUGAUAUGUUAGCCUUUGGUGAAAUUCAAAAGGAAAGAUAACAACAUCCAAGAGGCACAACUCUUUCCUCUGAAAUAAAACUUGAAGCGUGACCACUC
ensembl:lncRNA LOC102550644 uncharacterized LOC102550644